rnacentral:rRNA from 1 species
GGGGGGGCAAGCGUUUGUUCGGAUUUACUGGGCGUAAAGGGCUCGUAGGCGGCCAACUAAGUCGGUUGUGAAAUCCCUCGGCUCAACCGGGGAACUGCGACCGAUACUGGAUGGCUUGAAGCCGGGAGAGGGAUGCGGAAUUCCAGGAGUAGCGGUGAAAUGCGUAGAUACCUGGAGGAACACCCGUGGCGAAGGCGGCAUCCUGGACCGGUCUUGACGCUGAGGAGCGAAAGCUAGGGUAGCAAACGGGAUUAGAUACCCGGUAGUCCUAGCCGUAAACGAUGAAUGCUUGGUGUGGCGGGUAUCGAUCCCUGCCCGUGCCGGAGCUAACGCGUUAAGCAUUCCGCCUGGGGAGUACGGUCGCAAGGCUG